AAGGUCCUGCUUGCUAAGGUCCUGUUCUCUAAGGUCCUGCUCACUAAGGUCCUGCUCUCUAAGGUCCUGCUCGCCAAGGUCCUUCUCCCUAAGGUCCUGCUCGUCAAGGUCCUGUUCGCCAAGGUCCUGCUCGCCAAGGUCCUGCUCACCAAGGUCCUGCUCACCAAGGUCCUGCUCACUAAGGUCCUGCUCACCAAGGUCCUGCUCACUAAGGUCCUGCUCACUAAAUUUAAAGAUGAGGAAAUCUUGGAGAAGGAAGGUCACUUAAAGGUCACUCGGUCCAAACCUCCCAAUGCUUAGCAGGAAUUGCUUCCAUCACAUGCAGGUCAAUUCAACAAAAUUGUUUAAAUGCUUUUAUAUACAAGACAUCUGGAAUAUCUUCCUCGAGCCCCUGCUUGCAAGGGCUUCAGUUUCCCACAGCUCUGGUGAUCAGAAAAUACCUUUUGCUUUGUUGUUUGUGUCCAGCUCUUUAUGUCCCCAUUGGGCUUUUCUUGGCAAAGAUACUGGAGCCAUUUGCAUUUCCUUCUCCAGUGCACAAAGGCAGAGAUUAAGGGAUCUGCGCAGGUUCUCACAGCUAGUGAGUAUCUGAGGCAGAAUUUGAACUCUGCCCCCUCCCCGCCAUGUUCUCCCCUACUGCACCACCUUGCUGCCCCAGUGGGGGGGUUUCUUGACCUGGAGACCCGUACAUGCUUGAGACGAUUGUCCUAGUUUGCCUCAGAUGUACCCAAGAUGCUGUCCUAGGUGCAAGAUCACGGAACUGAGCCAAUUUCCGGGAGAUUCGCAUCGCCAGAAGCCUUUUCCGCCCCGGAAUGUCCGGUCUCCUGGCCUUCAGCGUCUUUGCCGGUCCCAUCUUGGUGACCAAAGGGCCUGGGCUCAGCCCAUCACCAACUGGGCCAUGGACUCAGGUGCAGAACUCCUGAUAUUUUCCAUCACUAUCCUAGCAGAGGCGGAGAUCAGAGAAAAACUGUUUCUUUGCCAGGGAAAAUAAUAAUUUGUAUUUCUGCAGCAUCCUAGGGUUUGCAAAACACUUUACCCACAUUAUCUCACUCCCCCCGGCAAGAGUCCCCUGAGGUAGAAAGAGAAGCGAAAGGCUUUGGCAGGAAAGCUGGGAGAGGCUGAGCUAAUGGACAGAGCCCGGCAUGGGCUUGAAGGCAUUUAAAUUCCCUCAGCCUUGUUAAUCUGUAAAAUGGGAGACUGUAGUGGAGCCAGCCCGAACCGGCUUGGGAGAGCUCAUUGGCAAGCGGUCAGCCUGGCAGAGCCUUCACUUCUGGGCCCGGGUUAACUCGUUCUGCGGAUUGUUUAAACUUCUGACCACAGCAGCUCAUGCUGUCCCGGGGCUUUCUUGGCAGCCCCUGGCGGGGGUCGCGUUCCUUCUGCAGCCAUUUUACAGAUGAGGAAACUGAGGCAGACUCAGUCACCCAGCUCGGAAGUGCCUGAAUUCACUUUUGAACUCAGGGCUUCCUUAUUCCAGGCCUUAUCCACUAAGCACCUGGCUGCCUUCAGAGCCAGGACUGGGGCAGAGUAAAGGGAGCUUUUCCUUGCCUUCCUUAGGGUGUGAGUGGUAACUAAUACCCGCCGAUUCCUGGGCCCAGUCGGGGACUUUCUGACCUUCGCUGGAGCCCACCGCCGGCCCUGUAUUCCGCCCCCCCCUUGUGGGUAGGGACUGUUGGGUUUUUUUUUGGUUGUUGUUGUUUUUAGAUAAGGUGCCUGGUAUACAGUAGGCUCCUAAUUAAUGCUUGCUGGAUGAAUGAAUAACUCUGGGGCACGGGAGCCGGGCACUGCCCUGCCCGCGGGAGGGGCGGCUCUCCCUGCCUCCCUGCAGAACCUUCCCGGCAUGCUCCGCGGCGGGGCUCAGGGCGGACGCCGGGGGCAUUGUGUGCCAGGCUGGCUCGGCCAAUGGGAGCUGGCAGCCGGGGGGGAGGGGGCGUUCCCCCCCACGGGCCAUUUUUACUGCGUCGCUGUUCGGACUUGAUUGAAGACAGGAUCUUUAGUCAUAAAAAUCAUCUUCGCAAUAAUAACAACAAAUGCCCGCCGUCUCCCGGCCCGGCCGCGCUUGGCACGAGGCGUGUUUUUGCAGCCGAGUUACAAUAAAGCUCCGAGAAGGGGCGCUUGCCAUGGAAACGCUGACACGGCCUUUCGGGCCCUUCGUGGUGAUUAAAAUUCUCCCCGCAAUUAAAAA